rnacentral:rRNA from 1 species
CCUACGGGUGACAGCAGUGGGGAAUAUUGGGCAAUGGGCGAAAGCCUGACCCAGCAACGCCGCGUGAAGGAAGAAGGCUUUCGGGUUGUAAACUUCUUUUGACAGGGAAGAGCAGAAGACGGUACCUGUCGAAUAAGCCACGGCUAACUACGUGCCAGCAGCCGCGGUAAUACGUAGGUGGCAAGCGUUGUCCGGAUUUACUGGGUGUAAAGGGCGUGUAGCCGGGCUGACAAGUCAGAUGUGAAAUCCGGGGGCUCAACCUGUGGCCUGCAUUUGAAACUGUGGUUCUUGAGUACUGGAGAGGCAGACGGAAUUCCUAGUGUAGCGGUGAAAUGCGUAGAUAUUAGGAGGAACACCAGUGGCGAAGGCGGUCUGCUGGACAGCAACUGACGCUGAGGCGCGAAAGCGUGGGGAGCAAACAGGAGUAGAUACCCGUGUAGUC